AUUGAACGCUGGCGGCAGGCCGAACACAUGCAAGUCGAACGAGUGGCGGACGGGUGAGUAAUGUCAGGGAAACUGCCUGAUGGAGGGGGAUAACUACUGGACACGGUAGCUAAUACCGCAUACCAUCAGAUGUGCCCAGAGGGGAUUAGCUUGUUGGUGGGGUAACGGCUCACCCAGGAGACUAACCCAAACUGGUCUGAGAGGAUGACCAGCCACACUGGAACUGAGACACGGUCCAGACUCCGACGUGAGGCAGCAGUGGGGAAUAUUGCACAAGGGGCGCAAGCCUGAUGCAGCCAUGCCGCGUGUAUGAAGAAGGCCUUCGGGUUGUAAAGUACUUUCAGCGGGGAGGCGUUACCCGCAGAAGAAGCACCGGCUAACUCCGUGCCAGCAGCCGCGGUAAUAC
rnacentral:rRNA from 1 species